GAUUUCAUACUUCAGUAUAUCAUAUACUAAAAUGGAACACUAUGGAAACGAUUUACAUGACCCCUACACAAGAGUGAAAUGAAAGUUUGUAAGAAUUUCAAUAUUUUU